rnacentral:rRNA from 1 species
GAUGAACGCUGGCGGCGUGCCUAACACAUGCAAGUCGAGCGGAAGCGCGGGGCGCUUGCACCACGUCGGUGAGCGGCGGACGACUGAGUAGCGCGUGGGAACGUCCCCCAAAGUGAGGAAUACCUGCAAGAAAGGGCAGCUAAUACCGAAUAUUCUCUUUGGAUCAAAGGGUUUUUCAGGUUUGGGAGGGGCUCGUGACGGAUCUGGCAGUUGGCGUGGUAGUGGCGUACCAAGCCGACGAUCCGGAGACGGUCUGUGAGGAUGACCAGCGAGACUGGAACUGAGACACGACCCAUACGGCUACGAGAGGCAGCGGUGAGGAAUCUACCACAGUGAGCGAGAGCCAGAGGGGGCGACGCCGCGAGCAGGGCGAUGGCCUUGGAGUUGUAUUCUGCUAUGAUAGGUGAUGAUUGUGACGGUAACUUAUGAAUAAGGACCGGCUAACUACGUG